AUACUCUGUAGUGUGUAAGUAAGCCUGAUGCCCAGGUCUUCACGCACACACGUGAUGUGCGCCUCCCUCCAGCCUUGUUACCAUGUCAGCACAUUGCCUAUCUGAUG
ensembl:snoRNA